GACGAACGCUGGCGGCGUGCUUAACACAUGCAAGUCGAGCGGUAAGGCCUCUUCGGGGGUACACUGGCGGCGGACGGGUGCGUAACACGUGGGUGACCUGCCCCCACCUCUGGGAUAAGCCUGGGAAACUGGGUCUAAUACCGGAUAUGACCUUUCCUCUCAAGGGGUUUGGUGGAAAGUUUUUUCGGCUGGGGCUGGGCCCGCGGCCUAUCAGCUUGUUGGUGGGGUGAUGGCCUACCAAGGCGGCGACGGGUAGCCAGCCUGAGAGGGCGACCGGCCAACCUGGGAGGGAGACACGGCCAGGACUCCUACGGGAGGCAGCGGUGGGGAAUAUGGCGAAAGGGGCGGAAGUCAGACGGAGCGACGCCGCGUGGGGGAUGACGGCCAGCGGGUAGUAAACCUCUUUCGAACCCGACGAAUUUGGACGGUAGGGGUAGAAGAAGCACCGGCCAACUACGUG
rnacentral:rRNA from 1 species